AUAGUCCACUGUCUGAUGUAUGUAACUCGGUCUUUCCUCUGAAACUGUUUUAUUAUGAAGAGACAACAGAGAAGCAGUGUGUGGAUAAUGUCCAGCUGAGACAGGAGAAUACGGCACUGCAGAAAGACCUGCUGAAAACACAGGUGUCGUUGAAGACAUGUCAGAAGGUAGCAGAGGAAGUGCAGCAGUUGAAGGAGGACAACGCCAGGACAUCCGUUCUAAAAUACGACCUGGAAAAACAACUUGUACUGUUUCAAGAUUCUAAACUCAAGCAAGAGCGUGACAUUACCAGGCUGAAAACAGAGAAGAUUGUACUGGAGAACGAGCUUCUUCAUCUUCAGGUUUGCACGUUCUCCCUACUUCCACUCACGCUACAACCAGCACUGCAGCUGCGAUGAAGGAGUUUCACAAAGUGUUCCGAUAAGCUUACGUUGUUUUUAUUAGAGACUUGUCUUUUAAAUAAUGCAGAGUGACUUGAGUUUCAUCAUCAGCUAGAAGACUGCGUCCCCUUUUCUCAGUGGAGGGAGGGAGAGCAGAGGGACGGUGAGUCAGGUGAGAGGCAGCCUUACCGCUGCCCCCUCCCUCCCUCAGACUGACCAUCAGCUAGAAGACUGCGUCCUCUUUUCUCAGCGGGGGGAGGGCAGAGGGAGGGAGACCAGAGGGACGGUGAGUCAGGUGAGGCAGCCUUACCGCUGCCCCCUCCCUCCCUCAGACUGACCAUCAGAUGCAGGACAGCAGUCCAGUAAAAAUAGUAAUACAACUAUAUACUAUAUAAUAAUAACUAUAUAUAUAAUACAACACAUGAUCUAUUUCCAGAAAAUAUAUUUUCUAAAUGGUCUGAGAAGAAUAACAUUGGAAGGGCAAUUCAAGCAUAGCCAAUAUGCAGUGAUAAUGUAUUGGGCCUAUGGCCUACUGAGCAUAGCCAAUAUGCAGGGAUAAUGUAUUGAGCCUAUAGCCUACUGAGCAUAGCCAAUAUGCAGUGAUAAUGUAUUGGGCCUAUGGCCUACUGAGCAUAGCCAAUAUGCAGGGAUAAUGUAUUGGGCCUAUAGCUACUGAGCAUAGCCAAUAUGCAGUGAUAAUGUAUUGGGCUUAUAGCCUACCGAGCAUAGCCAAUGUGCAGGGAUAAUGUAUUGGGCCUAUAACCUACUGAGCAUAGCCGAUAUGCAGGGAUAAUGUAUUGGGAGUGCUGAGCAUUGCCAAUAUGCAGGGAUAAUGUAUUGGGCCUCUAGCCUACUGAGC
rnacentral:lncRNA from 13 species